UUCAGGAUGAACGCUAGCUACAGGCUUAACACAUGCAAGUCGAGGGGCAUCAGGAAGAAAGCUUGCUUUCUUUGCUGGCGACCGGCGCACGGGUGAGUAACACGUAUCCAACCUGCCCUUUACUCGGGGAUAGCCUUUCGAAAGAAAGAUUAAUACCCGAUAGCAUAAUGAUUCCGCAUGGUUUCAUUAUUAAAGGAUUCCGGUAAAGGAUGGGGAUGCGUUCCAUUAGGUUGUUGGUGAGGUAACGGCCCACCAAGCCUUCGAUGGAUAGGGGUUCUGAGAGGAAGGUCCCCCACAUUGGAACUGAGACACGGUCCAAACUCCUACGGGAGGCAGCAGUGAGGAAUAUUGGUCAAUGGGCGCUAGCCUGAACCAGCCAAGUAGCGUGAAGGAUGAAGGCUCUAUGGGUCGUAAACUUCUUUUAUAUAAGAAUAAAGUGCAGUAUGUAUACUGUUUUGUAUGUAUUAUAUGAAUAAGGAUCGGCUAACUCCGUGCCAGCAGCCGCGGUAAUACGGAGGAUCCGAGCGUUAUCCGGAUUUAUUGGGUUUAAAGGGAGCGUAGGUGGACUGGUAAGUCAGUUGUGAAAGUUUGCGGCUCAACCGUAAAAUUGCAGUUGAUACUGUCAGUCUUGAGUACAGUAGAGGUGGGCGGAAUUCGUGGUGUAGCGGUGAAAUGCUUAGAUAUCACGAAGAACUCCGAUUGCGAAGGCAGCUCACUGGACUGCAACUGACACUGAUGCUCGAAAGUGUGGGUAUCAAACAGGAUUAGAUACCCUGGUAGUCCACACAGUAAACGAUGAAUACUCGCUGUUUGCGAUAUACAGUAAGCGGCCAAGCGAAAGCAUUAAGUAUUCCACCUGGGGAGUACGCCGGCAACGGUGAAACUCAAAGGAAUUGACGGGGGCCCGCACAAGCGGAGGAACAUGUGGUUUAAUUCGAUGAUACGCGAGGAACCUUACCCGGGCUUAAAUUGCAGUGGAAUGAUGUGGAAACAUGUCAGUGAGCAAUCACCGCUGUGAAGGUGCUGCAUGGUUGUCGUCAGCUCGUGCCGUGAGGUGUCGGCUUAAGUGCCAUAACGAGCGCAACCCUUAUCUUUAGUUACUAACAGGUUAUGCUGAGGACUCUAGAGAGACUGCCGUCGUAAGAUGUGAGGAAGGUGGGGAUGACGUCAAAUCAGCACGGCCCUUACGUCCGGGGCUACACACGUGUUACAAUGGGGGGUACAGAAGGCAGCUAGCGGGUGACCGUAUGCUAAUCCCAAAAUCCUCUCUCAGUUCGGAUCGAAGUCUGCAACCCGACUUCGUGAAGCUGGAUUCGCUAGUAAUCGCGCAUCAGCCACGGCGCGGUGAAUACGUUCCCGGGCCUUGUACACACCGCCCGUCAAGCCAUGGGAGCCGGGGGUACCUGAAGUACGUAACCGCAAGGAUCGUCCUAGGGUAAA
rnacentral:rRNA from 1 species